AGUCAUUGUACAACCCAUUGUUAUUUAAAUCCAAUCUAUUUAUAGCACUAUUAAAUGAGUUAUUUCUUCACUGCAGGUCUGUGGUGUUUCAACCUCUUCAACAAUGUUAGAUUUUAUUUUAAUUCAAAUCAUGGACAACAUUUAUAGUUUUGGUUAAGUAUGUUUAGUUUAUAGUUUAUGAAUCGAGGCUUAAUUUCUUGCUUAUUAUUUAUAAUUUUUCUCAUAAUUAAAUGUUUUUGUAUUAUUCUUUACAGGUGGAUGAUAUGUUAGAGGAAACAGUAAUAUUAAAUCUCUAUACUCAUUUUUUAUUUAAUCUACAUUCCUUAAUAUAAUUUUUCUUUUACCUUUCAAAUGCAUUUCUAUAUAUACACAGGUUCAGUUUCUUCAAAAUAGAAAUGUCAGUGCUGUGCUCUAUAAUGAACGUGACUUCAAUGUCCUUUGUGUUUGUGGGGUAAGCCCACUAAUCAAAUUUAUUUGUUUCUCAUAUUUUUUCUCAAAGGCAAUGGUAAGGGCAAAGGAAAAUGAGAAGCUUAAAGGAAAAAGAAAGGAAAACUACUCAAUAAAGGGACUAAAAAAAUACACAAGUGGAUUGGGUUGAAAAAGCUAUGGAGCUCAAGAGGAUAAAUAAGACUACAUUACUCUGAUGGAAUAGAAACAAGAUUGUUUUGCAUGCUCCUCACUGGAAAAAGUACACAGAAGUUGAUACAUGGACAUUUCAAAAUGUGAUGGAGAACAAGUUUGAAGGCGCCCAAGCACUUUAGAUGCGUCCAAGUACUUUUUCUAUAGGCGUCCAAGUUUUUGUAGAGGCGCCCAAGUACUUUUUGUUGAGGCGUCCAAGUUGGAAGACAUUAUAUGGCAUACAUUUUGUAAAGCUUGACGUUAACCAAUUUUGUAAAGCUUCAUAUUGAUAUAUACUUCAAUGGAUUUCUAAUAUUUUUGUAAAGUCUAUUAUCAAUGUAAAAGAUUGGA